rnacentral:rRNA from 1 species
GACAGAGGGUGCAAACGUUGUUCGGAAUUACUGGGCGUAAAGCGUGUGUAGGCGGUCCUCUAAGUCGGGUGUGAAAGCCCUGGGCUCAACCCAGGAAGUGCACUCGAAACUGGAGGGCUAGAGUAUCGGAGAGGUUGGUGGAAUUCUCGGUGUAGAGGUGAAAUUCGUAGAUAUCGAGAGGAACACCGGUGGCGAAGGCGGCCAACUGGACGAAUACUGACGCUGAGGUGCGAAAGCGUGGGGAGCAAACAGG